GUUAAAUUAACAAACAUUUCUGCAACGAAAGAGGAAUUACAGAGAAAUACUGUGACACUGUUAACUGGUGUAUUGGCAAUAACCAUAUUGAUUCUUAAAAAAUCAAAAGAACUUUUGAUUUUUUUUUUAAUUCGGUCAUUCUAUUAAAUAAUUGUUAUCAAACUAUUCGAUUUUACACAUUUUACACCACAUCAAUGAUUGAAACUCUGUCCUCAAGAAAGAAUCAACAAUACUUC
rnacentral:lncRNA from 1 species